rnacentral:rRNA from 1 species
UACGUAGGCAGCGAGCGUUGUUCGGAGUUACUGGGCGUAAAGAGUGCGUAGGCGGUUUUCUAAGUUUGGUGUGAAAUCUCCCGGCUCAACUGGGAGGGUGCGCCGAAGACUGGAAGGCUUGAGUAUGGGAGAGGUAAGCGGAAUUCCUGGUGUAGCGGUGAAAUGCGUAGAUAUCAGGAGGAACACCGAUGGCGAAGGCAGCUUGCUGGGACGGUACUGACGCUGAGACGCGAAGGCGUGGGGAGCAAACAGG